CCUACGGGAGGCAGCAGUGGGGGAUAUUGCACAAUGGGGGAAACCCUGAUGCAGCGACGCCGCGUGAGUGAAGAAGUAUUUCGGUAUGUAAAGCUCUAUCAGCAGGGAAGAAAAUGACAGUACCUGACCAAGAAGCCCCGGCUAACUACGUGCCAGCAGCCGCGGUCAGACGUAGGGGGCAAGCCUUAUCCGGAUUUACUGGGUGUAAAGGUAGCGUAGACGGUUAUGUAAGUCUGGAGUGAAAGCCCGGGGCUCAACCCGGGGACUGAUUUGGAAACUGUGUAACUGGAGUACAGGUGAGGGGGGGGGAAUUCGAGGUGUAGCGGUGAAAGGCGUAGAGAUGAGGAGGAACACCGGCGGCGAGGGCGGCCGCCGGGACAAAAACUGACGCGGAGGUGCGAAAGCGUGGGGAGCAAACAGGAUUAGAUACCACAGUAGUC
rnacentral:rRNA from 1 species